CGGAUGCGAUCAUACCAGCACUAAAGCACCGGAUCCCAUCAGAACUCCGAAGUUAAGCGUGCUUGGGCGAGAGUAGUACUAGGAUGGGU
rnacentral:rRNA from 1 species